UACGUAGGUCCCAAGCGUUAUCCGGAAUUACUGGGCGUAAAGAGUCUGUAGUCGGUCCUGAUAGUCUACUUUCAAAUACCUCGGCUCAACCGAGGAGAGGGAGUGGAUACUGCAGGUCUGGAAGUUUUCAGAGGUGAGUAGAAUUUCCGGUGGAGAGGUGAAAUUCGUUGAUAUCGGAAGGAAUGCCAAAAGCGAAAGCAGCUCACUAUGAAUAUCUUGACGAUGAGAGACGAAAGUCUGGGUAGCAAACGGG
rnacentral:misc_RNA from 1 species